AGUGGAAGCGUCUGGAAAGGCGCGCGAUACAGGGUGACAGCCCCGUACACAAAAGCGCAUGUGCUGUGAGCUCGAUGAGUAGGGCGGGACACGUGGUAUCCUGUCUGAAUAUGGGGGGACCAUCCUCCAAGGCUAAAUACUCCUGACUGACCGAUAGUGAACCAGUACCGUGAGGGAAAGGCGAAAAGAACCCCGGCGAGGGGAGUGAAAAAGAACCUGAAACCGUGUACGUACAAGCAGUGGGAGCCCCACCACUAAGCCAGUGGUGAACUCCACAUACGCAUCCUUUGCUGAGGAUACGGUUAACGGAGCGAAAGCGACGUUCAACCGCAAAAGAAGCAGAGGGGGCUUAGUGGUGGGGUGACUGCGUACCUUUUGUAUAAUGGGUCAGCGACUUAUAUUCUGUAGCAAGGUUAACCGAAUAGGGGAGCCGGAGGGAAACCGAGUCUUAAUUGGGCGUUAAGUUGCAGGGUAUAGACCCGAAACCCGGUGAUCUAGCCAUGGGCAGGUUGAAGGUUGGGUAACACUAACUGGAGGACCGAACCGACUAAUGUUGAAAAAUUAGCGGAUGACCUGUGGCUGGGGGUGAAAGGCCAAUCAAACCGGGAGAUAGCUGGUUCUCCCCGAAAGCUAUUUAGGUAGCGCCUCGUGAAU
rnacentral:rRNA from 1 species